UACGUAGGGGGCAAGCGUUGUCCGGAUUUAUUGGGCGUAAAGGGCGCGUAGGCGGCCACCGCAAGUCGGUUGUGAAAUCUCCGGGCUAAACCCGGAAAGGUCAAUCGAUACUGCGGGGCUAGAGUGCAGAAGGGGCAACUGGAAUUCUCGGUGUAGCGGUGAAAUGCGUAGAUAUCGAGAGGAACACCUGCGGCGAAGGCGGGUUGCUGGGCUGACACUGACGCUGAAGCGCGAAAGCUAGGGGAGCGAACGGG
rnacentral:rRNA from 1 species